UACAGAGGGGGCAAGCGUUGUUCGGAAUUACUGGGCGUAAAGGGCGCGUAGGCGGGAUGGCAAGUCGGUCGUGAAAUCCCUCGGCUCAACCGAGGAACGUCGAUCGAUACUGCUGUUCUUGAGGAUUGCAGAGGAGACUGGAACUCCCGGUGUAGCGGUGAAAUGUGUAGAGAUCGGGAGGAACACCGGUGGCGAAGGCGGGUCUCUGGGCAAUUCCUGACGCUGAGGCGCGAAAGCGUGGGGAGCAAACGGG
rnacentral:rRNA from 1 species